CAGAAAAGGAGGGAAAUAAAAAGUCACCCCCAUCUUCCGUUUGUACGAGGAAGCGGUCAAAAGUUAGUGCAUAUAGCAGCGGUCCACCAGCGGAGGGUCUGCGGACGCACACUUUGGCAGGACCCCAUAAGGGAAAAAAACGGCUAGUCAUCACGUUGUGGGGUGUCCCCAUAAGUGACCUGGUGACCGCGCUCUGAAUUGGGCUGAGAAGAUGAGACUGUAAAAGUGGGAGUGGCCAGUUAAGGUAGGGCUAUGCCAGAUAAGGUCGUCUAAGCAGUGAGAAGGAGGAAGCCCCCUUAAAGCCCUAAUAGCCCUAAAUACUCAUCUCAUUGCCUAAAUUUUGGUUGUACUUCUAAGAAUAUGAUUAAUAAGACUGUUUCAGAGUGCUCUAGCUAACUUGAUGGACAGUAGUCCAGUACCUCUUGUCAAAGUCCCAAGUCCACUUGGGUUGAGACUUGGUGACUCACAUAAUGCUGGCAGCCAAUCUGCCUUGUUUUUCCCUCUCAGUGUCCGCAGCUGCGAAUGCACUUCCGUGUUCUUGUCUUAGCAGCUCGGUGGAGUCAGAGGAUGCCAAUUUGCAGAUCAAAGGUACGGACUCUAGACCCUAACUUCCUGUGAAAUGUGGCCACCCAUUUUGCAUUUCUUAUAGCUAAGGAGGUGCAUGUGGUUUCGAUGGAGCAGUUUACUCAUACUGUAUAGCUGCAGAAACAGCGCGUUCGGCCUUUCCGGCUGCUGGGACCCCCGAACUACGGGGCAGUGACGGCCAGAGGAGGACAUUUCAGUAAAACUCCAAACCAGGUGUCAGCCAAGCAGUUGAGUAUAAAGAGUCACAGUCACAGAAUAAUCAACUGCUUGGUUGAAACAAGACGCUGGACCUGAAAUGUCCGCCUCUGAUGAGGGCAGUCAGGCACUGAUGUAGGUGUGUUAGCACCGUGUGCCAUUUAUAUCCUCACCUUGCCUGCUCUCCAUUUUAUCUCUGGUUCACCUGCCGUUUACAACUGCCAUAAAAUCAGCCACUGGUUGAUAAUAGUCUACCAUGGUCAGUUAUUUCUUCUGGUUUAGCAUGACGGUUUAUCUUGUAUUUUUUGAAUGCAAAUAUUUGUUGUUGGUUAUGACCCAUCACUAUAACAAAAUCGACAAGGAAGGAAACUCACCAGGCAAUUUCACACUUGUAGACCCUGUGAUCAUCUGAAUCAGCCUGUCACUCAUGGUAGGAGAGGAAGAACAUCCUAUGACACAGGACAUGCUGUGCAGCUGCCAGCCAACCCAUUGUCUGUGCAGUGCUAGUAGAACAUGCUAAGGGGAUGGGGGACUGUUUUGUGCCGUCGCUGAGUAUGUCCCCGUCGCAAACCUCAGCCGCCUCUUAAAAUACAUCGCAGUCUCUCGCCUGCUCACAAAGAAUCAUUUCCACCAAGGUAAGAUGCUAAAAAUGCAUGAAUGGAAAUUCAAACAUCCGCCGACCGCUGAACAGCGAACACAAAAACAACAACAGCAGAAUCCUCACCUAGAAUCUGACUUAGGUGGCCCUUCUGUGUCAGUCUUGGGGGGUCACAAUGACAAGUGGUAGCGGGAGCCUGGGUUGCCCUUCCUACAAUAUCUUUUGAUCCGUUCUCUUGCUCUUUGGCUUCUCUUUCAUAAUGCCAUAAGAGGAGAGUUUGUCUAUUGUUUAUUAGUCAUAUAUUGCAUAAAGCACGUAAGGGUUUGUUUGCAACUUUUUUUCCAUUGAAGCAAAGAGAUCAUCAGUUUCCUCAGCUGACUCAUAAUCACUCAAAGGGUCUAGUGAGCAGAAGGUUAAUAUUAGGAGUGAUAUCACAGUCACAAUGUCUGCACAGUGCUUGAGUUUCUACAGCCUGCAGAAGGUCUGGUUCAGGCAGACUGUCACUGGAGUGUGUUCUCCGCUUUUUUCACUCUGGAGAUGGGGUGGGGUGGUGACCAUCGGUGUUACUGGCUGUCCUCUCCAUCUCAGAUCUCACUGUGAGUCGAGGUUGCGCAAACAUCCUCACAUGCCAGCCUGAUCACCUCUGUGAAUAUACAGGGCACAUAUCCCGUACGUACCAGCCACCCACUGACCCGACGCCCACUGACCCGACGCCCACUUUCCUGGCUCUUUAGUCACACGUUGUAUUUAUGUUUUGCUGAAAGUUUCAUUGGUAUCAACUGUUUGCCUGCAAGCUUCCUGAAGUCUGAAAAUAGCGAUGGGGCCUGUCCCGUGGGCUGUGGGUUAAUUUUGAGGUUGUGACUUUCCCAGUUUUGUUAUGACACAUACUAAAUAACAGCAGACACCCACAGGAACUUACAGCAGCAUCCCUGUUUAAAUGUCCAUUCCAACAGGGUUCAUGCCAGACUCAUCCCUGUGACAUAAAUGUCCAUUCUAAUAGGCUCCAUGCCAUACACAACCCUGUGAUAUAAAUGUCCAUUCUAACAGGGCCCAUUCCAUACUCAUCCCUGUGACAUAAAUGUCCAUUCUUAUAGGGUCCAUGUAAUACUCACAAACUGCUGAAAAGUUAAUGCUGGCUGUCAGAACAUACAGUGCAUCACAGCUUGCUGCUGAGUAGCUGCAGACCGGUCAGAGUGCCCAUGCUGAGCCCUGUUCACUGACGAAAGCACCAACAAUGGUUGCGUGAGAGUCAGAACUGGGCCAUGGAGCAAUGGCACAUGGCAAUGGCCUGGUCUGAUGAGUCACAUUUCCUGUAAUGUUAUGCAUUUGGCUGGAUGUGUGUGUGUUGUUUACCUGGGCAAGAGAUGACACCUGGAUGCACUAUGAGAAGAAGGCAAGCCGACAGAGGCAGUGUGAUGCUCUAGGCAAUGUUCUACUGGGAAAACGUGGGUGCUGGCACUCAUGUGGAUGUAACUUUGAUGUGUGCCACCUACCUAAACAUCACUGAAGACCAAGAACAUCCCUUCAUGGCAACGGUAUUCCCUGAUGGCAGUGGCCUCUUUCAACCCUGGUGCAAAAAUUGUUCAGGAAUGGUUUUAGGAACAUGAAAGAGUUCAAUGUGUUGACUUGGCCUCCAAAUUCCCCAGAUCUCAAUCUGAUUGAGUAUCUGUGGGAUGUUCUGGGCAAACAAGUCUGAUCCAUAUCCUCACAACCAGGAUCCUCUGCUAACAUCUUGGUGCCAGAUAGCACAGGACACCUUCAGAGGUCUUGUGGAGUCCAUCCCUCGACAGGUCAAAGCUGUUUUGCUGGCUUCACAAUAUUAGGCAGGUGGUUUUAAUGUUGUGGCUGAUUGGUGUAUGCUUAUAUGGCUGUCUGAUGGCCACGUGACAUUAUUACUACCUGCAUGGAAUGUGCUUUCAAGUAGUCAGUCUGUAAAGAAUUCACUGCUUAGUGUCUGUUGUGGCGUUUGACACCCUUUUCCCAUAAAAUACUUUGCUUCAAAGUAAAAAGAAUGUUCUUCUGUUCUCAGAUUAGCAGACUGCACACAUACUACCCUCUAGUGGAUUCGAGGAGGUAUUGCUGUGUAAAUGAGUAAAUCCUGUUCCCAGCCUAUGACAAUCAUCCAUCCAUCCAUCAAUUUUCCAAACCGCUUAUCCUAUUGAGUCGCGGGGGGCCCGGAGCCUAUCCCGGAAGCAAUGGGCACGAGGCAGGGAACAACCCAGGAUGGGGGGCCAGCCCAUUGCAGGGCACACUCACACACCAUCCACUCACACAUGCACACCUAUGGGCAAUUUAGUAACUCCAAUUAGCCUCACCAUGUCUUUGGACUGUGGGGGGAAACCGGAGUACCCGGAGGAAACCCCACGACAACAUGGGGAGGACAUGCAAACUCCGCACACAUGUGACCCAGGCGGAGACUUGAACCUGAGUCCCAGAGGUGUGAGGCAACAGUGCUAACCACUGCACCACCAUGCUGCCCCCCCUAUGACAAUCAGUCAGUGCAAAUCGCUCAGUGCACUGUGUGUUAACGCAGUAAAAGUGUGUUUGGCUCUGUUGGGGGAAGACCUGAAUUAAGUACACAGAUCACAGUAAUUUCCACAGUAUAUCAGUUUAUUUUAUUUUAGUGAGGGAUUUUGCUUAUGUCAUAGAUAAACCCACAGAUUGAAUCUGACCACCAUUUCCUUAAUGUUAAAGAGCACAUGGUCGAAUCACAGACAGGGCGGCGCUGUUGUUCCAUAGGGUUGGGGUUCCUGACCUGUUGGUGUGCACACAUCGGUUAAUUUUGCACAAGAACAAAUUGAUGGACCAGUACAACUUGCAAGUACGUAGUUUGCUUCUGGAAAUUAACCAACCCCACCACAAAACCCUCCAAGAAUAAUGACCAGGGGUCAUACCACAGGUAAAGACUUGGGUUUUCACCUCAGCCAUUUCACAUGAUAGAGCAGCAUAUGGUCGCAGAGUUCAUCUUCUGCAAAGGGCUGUAUGGCUUUU